GUACAAGUAUGCCUUGCUUUUGGUUGUUGCGGUUGUUAUUAACUUGCAAGUCGCUUGGUAGGAAUAGAGCCGCUCAGAGCUCUAAUGAGGUCUUUUACGUACAGGUAUUCUUGGUUUCGCUGAGCCUGGAAGAAGGCCAAGGAGCAUUCAGCCCCGCCGUGAUGUUCUUGUUUACGACGUCCGUAUCGUUACGUUCGUCAAAUCGUAAUUCGAUCGGAAUCCCGAUUCGUGACGAGGAAUGAGACUGUGGCCCUUAUUAUGAGUGUCACUUCACGGUGAAAACCGAUCACGGUGACACAUUGCGAAUCCACGGUG